rnacentral:lncRNA from 1 species
ACUCGAUUACACACCCGGCACUUCGGCUUAUUAGCGUGUUCAGACGUAGACUAGAGUGCCAUAGACCCUAGAGUUAGGCUCCGAGGGCGGCGCGGGCGCUUGGUUGUAAGACAGUGAGUGACACAGAAAAACAUUAAUUUUACUGAUGUACUGGGGAUCGUCGUCCUAACGUUAGUUCUGGUCAACUGUGUGCUUGGACUCUGACUUCUUCGACGAAGCUCUACGUGAAGAAAAGUCUUUCAGCGAGCUGAGGAGUUGCGGUUGCUGGUUUGCUGAUGGUGAAUCUUCUUGGGCAGGUCACUCUCCAAUGGGCAAAGCUGCCACAAAUGAAGCAAGAUCCCCCUUGGAAUUUGGACACUCCGAAAAGGUAGGGGUAAGAUUGGGAAGAGCGUCGAAAAGAACUAUCGCCAGUAGACGCCCAAGAAGAGCUGCUGUCCCAUCUGGUCUUCUUCUGUUGCUGAUUCGUUGUCGUUGACGCUGCUCUCUUUUGCUUGGCCUUCCUUGCAGCCCUGUUCUCCGCGCUGGUGAUCUUGGCGUCGUCAUCUUCAUUGUCAGCUAGCUGUUGAGACUCGUAAUCAGAUACGGUCACCCAACUGUACACACUUGAAUCUGCCAGCCUAAUCAACUUCUGGCGCUUGUCAAUCGCCGCUAUGGCCUUCGCCAAACUAGCCUUUAUAUCAGCUACCUCCAGGUUGCCGUCGUCUUCUACUCUCCCUUUGAGCGUCUGGAUGAUCUCUCUGACUUCUCUGUACAAACACAAUUUACCCCAAACAUUAAAGAAAAGAGUACUGAAAGGGUUUCAAGCAGAUGCGGGGACUGUGCCGAACCAAUGUGAAGUGAUCCGUCUGUCGUGCCACUCCCCCGACCUGGCACGUAAUUUGCAUAAUUACCUAAGGUCUGCCCUCACACUACGUAUCCGUACGCCAAGAAGAAAAGAAAUAUGCUCUCAUUCGCCCCUGUCGCUCAACCGAACAUAUUUAUAUUUCUUCCCUAGUACCUCUGUCUGAAGAACAAAAGUACACAAACACCAGUGAAUUUGCGGUAGUGUUGGUGUAUUUUGGCCAAAACACUGAACAGUGAAUGCACUUUGAACAGGUUAAAGAAAGGCAUGAAUGUAAUUGUCUAGCAAAAUAGGGUUAAAACACCUACCCUGUGCAUAAUAACUACUAUUGCCAAUUUCCGCCGGUUAGAGUUAUGCAAAGAAAAUAUACUUAGCUGAUACUUGCAAGUUAAAGUCAAACUGCUUUUGGUUUCCUUCUUUUCUCCACUUGGCGCUGGUUGACUCUUUCAAUUUUUGAGUCAACAAGGUAGAGGCUUUUGAGUGCAAAUCCAAGACUUCAUUUUUCGUGUUAGAUAACUUGUUGUCGAAAACCUCUGCGAACUCUGAAAGCAUGGCCCUAAUGUCGUCCUUGGUAGCUGGCUUGUCAUCAGAAGACAUUAUGGGGCCUAAAACAUACAACUAUGUCAGCUUUCUAUUAUAGGUAUAUGCAACACACAGUACGGAAAGGGUUUCAAGCAGAUGCGGGGACUGUGCCCAACCAACAUGAAGUGACCCGUCUGUCGUGCCACUCCCCUGCCCUGGCACAUGAUUUGCAUGAUUACGUAAGGUCUGCCCUCACGCGACAUACCCGUACGCCAAGAAGAAAAGCUCCUGUCGCUCAACCGAACAUAUUUAUAUUUCUUCAACUUAAUAUUAGCAACUCUUCCCCUGGAAAAUAGAAGUGUAUCGAUUGCUUAUCAGGGGUUUUCACUGUGUCAGGGUUUUUGCUCAUUGAAUCGGCCGGAUAUGCUUUUGAAUGCCUGGCUAGAACACCGGCUACUAAAUGAUACGUGUAUCUCAGUGUGCAACAACAUUCAUGCAUGAAAUUUAUAUGACUGUAAAACACCAUUUUGGUUUCCAGUGUGCUAUUUUAUUUAUUAGUGUGCUUGGGCAAGCAGAACAUCUAACGUCAAGCACCAACAAUCUUUGCAAGAACGCCAGCCAGCUGUUUUAUUUACAAAGAUAAUGGUAAACAAAACAGAGGCACUCUUUCAAAGUUGAUGCCCUUAACCUGAGGGCACAUAUGUUCUUGAUAGAUUCUUGGAACAUCACUUAAUUAUUGUAACACAGAGAGGAGGACACAAGCACAAAUUCUAAGUUCUUUGCUGAUCCACAGAAAUAGUGUUUCCCGGUUUACUCCCUGCAAUUUAUAUCUAACUGAUAUAUAAUGACUUAACUUGAUCUUCAUUAAAAUAAAAUAGUCUGAUAAUGAAAAUAUGAAAAUAUAACAGUCUUAUAAUGUGGAGUUGAAGUUACUUUUGAUUAAAACUACAGAAAAUAAAGCAUUCUACCUCUGGUUUCCUGACUGACUAUAACUUCAGCGUGACCAGAACACUUAUUGGUGGGAACAGUUUGAAAAGACAUUUUAGAAUUCUGUUUACUUACUCUCCACGGAAGGUCUUGUAUGACCUUCAGUUAUUUUCACAAGUUCCCUUAUGCAGAAUUUGCUCUCACGCCACACUGGUGAAAACGUGCAUGGAGCUAAAGCACUGCUAUACUGGUUCAUGCUGCUUGGCAUCUUGCUAGAAAGGGCUUGAUAGAGAAGCGGCAACCAGUCUACCGUUAAAUUUGUGCAACUUUGGCUGUAUUGAUCGUACUUGAAGCAAAUGUGUUUCCACAAAAAUUUCUGUGAUUUUUUUCCCCGAGGAGCAAAACAAUAAAGUCUCAUACUACUUGAGACCUCACAAGAUCUCAAGAUUGUGCUCCAAGAUCAAGACUGAGUUCUUUUAUUCAAGACCUUAAAAUUGUUGACAUCUUUAAAAAUUGGUCUUAAGACUGGUCUUGAUACCAAGACCUGCCCUAAAACCUGCAUCACUGAUAAUUGGUACACUGCACAUGUGGACACAUGUACAGUGACCUCCA